rnacentral:lncRNA from 1 species
ACAGUUGCUGGCUCUCCCUCUCCCCAGGGUGCAGAAAAGCUCUCUGCACCACAUUGCCACUGCCAAGGAAGGGGGGAGGGAUGGCAUAGGCAAUUCAAGUCUGUUUUUUCUACUUCUUCGGUGCCUCUUUCAGCGAUAUGAAUUUAAAACCAGGUACUAUGAGUGCUCACCUGAUUUUUGGUUCUCAUGAAAGUGUUUUGUUGUGUGUGGAUAUUUGUUAAAUUGGUGUCCUUGCGGAGGUAGGUUGGGGGAUGAUCGGUGGGGCCUUCUAUUUCUUCACCUUGCUCCAACCCCCUUUCAUUCUUUUAUUAAAAGUAUUAAGUGCUCAGCAGGUAAGAUGUAAGCAUUAAUCUAGGCACUAUAGAAACAGUUAUAAACAAUAUGAAGUACUUCCCACACUACUACCACUCCAUCUCAUGGAGUUUACGUUCUAAUAAAGAAGAAAGAUAAGUAGAUAGACAAAUUAAUGUGUUAGUAGAGUUCGGUUUUAUGAAGAAAAUAACAGCACGGCUAGAAAGUGAGUGAGGUGAUACUAUAGAAAAUGUGGCCAGCUGUGGUCUUUCUAAGAAGGCAAGACUUUAACAAAGACUUGGAAGACAUAAAGGAAUAAGCCACAAAAUAUCUCAGAGAAGGGUGUUCUGGCUACAAGGAGUGACAAAUGCAAAGGUCCUGAAACAAGAACAUGAAGGAUGUGUUAGAUUUUUUUAAAAGGACAAUAUUUUAUGAUUUGAGUAAUAUUUUACCUAUAGAAUCUUAAAUUUUUAACACAGGAUUGAUGCACUACACACCAGAAUAUACUAACAGAGCACCUGCUCUGCCAAUGCCAGGCUGAUUGCUCUGGAGACACAGACUGUUUCAAGAAACUGAGUGAGUAGGCUCUGGAAAUUGGAAGUGAUCUUAGUAUUUAAGUUCAGUCACUCAACUACAAUCUCUGAAACUGGGGGAAAUAUGUUCUGUCUGCAUCACGUAAUCAAAGUUUAAUUUUUUUAAGGAACAAUAGGAAUGUCACUUGCAAAACAGAAAUGGAGGUUUAUCUUUCAGAGACUAAAAUAUUUAAGUAGUCAUAAAUCAACUGCUUAUUUCUCUACUUAGUGAUUUACUGCCUUAUCAAAGGCAUCUCCUUGUUAGCUUUUUAUGAGGAUUAUCGUCUAAAGCCAGCUUCCAAAAUUAGAGGCUAAUAAAUGAUUAGUUACAUGUCUAGAUGUGCCACAGCUGAUGUAGGAGUAAUAAAAAAUCCUCCCCCAUUCCCCCAUAAUUCAGCGGGUGAUUAGUCUGUGUCCACUGGCACAAUCUUGUAAAGUUCUGGAAAUCAUUCUGUUAAUACGUUCAAUACAGACAGCUUGGGGAAAAGCCUCUUCAAAGUGGCUUUUAAGAAAUUUAGUAAUCUAAUUUGGCUGUUAAUACUAAUCAUAUUUUGAAGUCUCAAACGUCUGCCUCCUUCUGUCAUCUGUUUGUAGACAGAGGCAGAUAUUGAGGUUUUGAUAUUUAUUUAUAAUUUUGAAAAUCAUGGUUUUCUCUAGUGUGCCGUUAGAUUUCACCCAUCUGGAUUCAGAUUCCACUAAUUUUGGAAGUCCACAUAAUGCUGACAGUAUCAUUAAAAAAAGUGAUGUCUUUAAGGUAAAUCUUUUUUUCUGGAAAAUUUUUAAGUACUUUAUGCAAAACUAUUAGCAAGGGGUGGAGAUAUUUUAUAUUGCAUUACAGAGCAAAAAUGUUUAUGUACCUCAGAAUUAUCCUUUCCAGCCCACUUUAGACAUGUUGGUAUGUCCUGUGUUGGAAGACAUUUAGAAAAUAAGUAGGUUAGAGAGACAGACAGACAGACAGACAGACAGACAGAAACUGUUGAACACUCAUAGCAUGAAUACUAUAGAUCACUAGGACCUCAGGCCUCUUUCUCAAGUUUGCAAGUCUAGAAAUUUCAUAUGUUCAAUUUUCUCAGGCUUGAUCAGCUUCCUGGAACCUGACUCAUUCUAACAAUCUCACACAAGAAUAUUUACAGAAAGUUUACAUUUGCAGCCACUUAAAAAAUUCAUUAGAAGAAAUCUCUCAGAGCAAGAUCUAAGGCCAAUCACCUUCCUUCUCAUGGGAGGAAAUAUUCAGUUGUAAUGUUUAGUUGGUAGAGAGAGAAUUCAAACCAGAGAAGUUGGUAUUCUGUAGCAGAUGUCACUAUUGAUAUUAGAAAGAAUGGAAAACAGAGCUGCUGCUAAAGUAAGCAAGCUGACAGCUGAGGCAGAAGUGUAUCAACAGCAGUAUGUUCACGGGAUCACCACAUUGACGAUUCAGCCCAGUUAUCUGGCAGUGCAUAAACUCAGUGCUGUUGGUACAAUCACAGAAGAUCAACCAGAGAUAUUUAUCAAAUGCUGAUUAUAUGACAAGACCUACACUGGAUCCUUGGGAUACAACCAUAAGAUAAUUGUGACAGUCCCAAUCCUUACAAAGACAGGCAAAAAGUUCAUAGACCAUCAUUUGUCUAUGGACCACACUUUGAACACAACUGCUCUGGACAAGCAGGCCUUGGAUUUCUACGUGUUUGUGUCUUAGAUCUGUUAAACUCAGCUGACCCACCACACCCAAGCAGAAC